CUUGGAACAGGGGUGUUGUACUUCGAAUUCAUGGACGAUGCCGGACUUCUGUGCUGCGUUUAGAUGUACAAAUGAACGAAAUCUAAAAACCAGACAGCAAGGGAUUACAUUUCACAAGGGUGACGGAGGACCAGAGGGGCGGUGAGCCGCUGGUGAGGGUCCACAUGCAGCAUUUUAGUCACGAUGUCCUACAAACACAAGAGCGUUUACAACCGAGGAACAAAUACACACCUCUAUAAUGCUGACAAGGAAGACUUCAGAUAAAUUUGUCGACAGGUGUCAGGCAGACGGCACCGAAUCACGCCCACAAAGACAAGCUGUCAAGCUCGCUGAACAGAUUUAAAACUAGCCGUGGUUUGCUUGCGGAAGGCCUACGGAGUGAUCGUUUUCAUUACAAUAAAACCUACAAUCAAAUGCAAAAAUAUCUACAUUCAAAAGUAUUCCUUUAAGAUCUGGAACUAUAUUAGAAAUAAACAUUUUGCCCAAAUCAGAUGUGUUAUGUGAACAGAAAAAAGGAAUUCAUUGUGUUGGAAGUCAUUCCAAAACCGUGACCUGACAUCGUCCUUAUGUAAAACAUAAUCCGCACUGAAAAAUCCAUGUCUGUUGCUGUUGUUACUAUAGCAACAAGAGUGGCUAUGCAAGCACAUGCAACUACAAGCUGAAGUAACAAAUCUGAUCUCUUGAACACUUUUAAGGUUCAACGCAGAGACUAAAUGAA